AUGUUCCGCAAAGGCAGCUGCUCCCUCCUGGCCGGGCUGAGCGGCCGCUCCGAGGUUCCAGGGCGGACCCUUCACCCGCGCGGGCCCCGGCGGCGACUCAGGAAAGACGACCGCGGCUCCGCGGCGGGGCCGAGCCCGCGGGUCGGGGGAGCCCGGGUCCGUAGGGGCGGGGGCGGCCCGAGGGAAGGGGCGGGGGCGGCCCGAGGGAAGGCCCCAGGCCCCGCAGCCACACCCAGCCCCGCCACCUUGUUUACGCCUCCGGCUCGGCCCCUCCCGCCCGGCCGGGCACGUGACCUCCGCCCCGCCCCUCGCCCCCUCGCGUGGCUCCUCCCGCCGCGCCGGCCCUUCUUUUCGCCUCCUUCGGAGUCACAAGAUCGCUCAGCGACCUCCUUUCGGGAUCCUUCCGCCAGUCCCCGCCCCCUUCCCUUCAAAGUCUCCUGGGCCCCUUGUCGACCGGCUGGCAUCGUCAGGAAUGAACGGGACGGCCUCGUGCGCCCGGCGGGGCUGCCGGCCGCGGUCAUCUGCCGCCGGGGUCGCGGGGGCGGCGAGGCCCGGCCGGGCACUCUUUUUCGCGGCGGAGGCCGCAGCGGCCGCGGCCACUUCACGCCGGGGGGAGGUGCUGUGCGUCCAAGAUGGCGGCGCCCUGUAGGCUGGAGGAGCUGUGAGUUCCAGUUUUUACUUGAUUGACUGAGGCCACGCAAGCACUCCUGGUCUGAAUGAUUUGGCUGAAUUUCUGAGAGGCCAGCCCACCUCCCAGCAGUGGGCGCACACUUGCAGUAUGCCACUGAGGACCGUUGGUGUUUAAAGCCUAGAAUGUGCUCCAUGAGGAAAUACAAUUACCCGGACAUCUGAGGCAAGAGAUUUGAAUUGUUAGAGGGUUGCUGCCUCCACAAGUUUGACUUUGAGCAUCACAGUAUAUUGAAGGGCUCGUUUGCAAGCUUUCUCAGGCUCACUCACCAGACGUAUGCAGUGCGUGAAGCUCAGCUUCCAUACACUACACCCCACCCUGGAGCGGGGACCAAAGAAGUUGGUAAAACAUUGGCUGGCCUGCACAGGAUAUAUUUGCUUUUUGUGUGCUGGGUGCUGCAGUGGGCCCAAAGGGGGGUAAGGGGGUACCUGGGAACCAAACAGAUGUCCAAGUCCUCGUGGAGCUUACCAUCUCAUGACCAGACCGUACCUAAAUAUAGUUUGAAAGGCCCACGUUUUAAAG
rnacentral:lncRNA from 1 species